UACAGAGGGUGCAAGCGUUAAUCGGAAUUACUGGGCGUAAAGCGUGCGUAGACGGUUGCGUAAGUCAGAUGUGAAAGCCCCGGGCUCAACCUGGGAAUUGCAUUUGAGACUGCGUAGCUAGGGUGCGGAAGAGGGAAGCGGAAUUUCCGGUGUAGCGGUGAAAUGCGUAGAUAUCGGAAGGAACACCAGUGGCGAAAGCGGCUUCCUGGUCCAGCACCGACGUUCAGGCACGAAAGCGUGGGGAGCAAACAGG
rnacentral:rRNA from 2 species